AGUCGUAACAAGGUAUCCGUAGGUGAACCUGCGGAUGGAUCAUUAUAGGGUGUUGGGUAAUUGUGAGUGGUUUUAUUAUUAGUAGUUUGAGCGGUGUUGGUUGGGAUGCGAAGCAGGAUUGCCAAGCAAGACAGCCAACAUUGCCAGCCAACAUUGCCUCACGUUAAACUCUAUAAAUCUAACAAUUACAUACAAAAAAAAACAACUUUUAGCAACGGAUCUCUUGGCUCUC
rnacentral:misc_RNA from 1 species